GAUGAACGCUGGCGGCGUGCCUAAUACAUGCCAGUCGAGCGAACAGACGAGGAGCUUGCUCCUCUGACGUUAGCGGCGGACGGGUGAGUAACACGUGGAUAACCUACCUAUAAGACUGGGAUAACUUCGGGAAACCGGAGCUAAUACCGGAUAACAUGUUGAACCGCAUGGUUCAACAGUGAAAGACGGUUUUGCUGUCACUUAUAGAUGGAUCCGCGUCGCAUUAGCUAGUUGGUAAGGUAACGGCUUACCAAGGCAACGAUGCGUAGCCUACCUGAGAGGGUGAUCGGCCACACUGGAACUGAGACACGGUCCAGACUCCUACGGGAGGCAGCAGUAGGGAAUCUUCCGCAAUGGGCGAAAGCCUGACGGAGCAACGCCGCGUGAGUGAAGAAGGUCUUCGGAUCGUAAAACUCUGUUAUUAGGGAAGAACAAAUGUGUAAGUAACUAUGCACGUCUUGACGGUACCUAAUCAGAAAGCCACGGCUAACUACGUG
rnacentral:rRNA from 1 species